GGGGGGAGAGACAAGGGAGGUGCUCCAAGGAGGGUUAUUCAAAGUAUAUUUAGAAACCACCUUAUGAAUUGGAAUCUCUCACUGUCUCUGCUGCUCAUGUCUGCUGCUGCUGCUCAUGUCUGCUGCCUGAGAGAGAAUGAGGAGCUGCUGCUGCUGUUGUUUUGGUUGCCUUGCCUUGCAGUCUGGACUGGUAGUCUCCAGAGAGAGGCAGGCAGUCUUGCAGAAGAUCGACAAGAAAAAUGGGUGGAUUGCUCCUCCUUCAGGCAGUCAAUCUUCCACCAGGCCCCCGGUCUUCUCACCUCAACGCUGAGAGAUGCAAGGAUGAGCACCCUUAUGCAUUCACCCUCUGGCACAGCCUGUUCUUAUGUAGCAGUCACCUGGAUAGGUGGAGCAGAAGCAAAUAUUCAUGAAAACAUUCAACAAUCCUUUCUGUCUCAAUCAGAUUGAUUUCCAGCUCCCUUGCCUGCCUCAGUUACCCCCGUUCACAGGCUGCCCUCUACUGGUAAGCAGAGAGAAAGAUAGGUAAAAUGCAGAAAGAAGGAAGGAGAAGACAGUUUGAUCUCUCAGUUCUCGGGCAAAUGGUGCCACGCAGAAAUGCUUGACUAACAAGCAGAAGGUUGCCGGUUCGAAUCCCCACUGGUACAAUAUUUGGCAGCAACACUAUAGGAAGAUGCUGAAAGGCAAUGGUAAACCCCACUGGUAUUCUACCAAAGAAAUCCACAGGGCUCUGUGGGCGCCAGGAGUCGAAAUUGACUUGAUGGCACACUUUACCUUACUUGGAGCAAAGGAAAAGCAAGGUAUAAAUAUUUGAAGUCUAUACGCUGAAGCUGCUGUGCAGAGAACAUAGUGAAUGACAUAAAGAAAACUGGAAUGAAGAUAUGUUCAAAUGCCAUAGACUUUGCAGAAAUGUACUCCUCUAUAUAAACCAUGAAAAUAUAACUCCAUGUUAUCUGCUGCUGAUAUCACUACCACCACCACUCCAGGGUGACUCAUAUUUUCCUGUUGAAAGUAAUUUGUGCUGGAUUUCCAUACAUUUCCUCCCUUUCUACUGUAUGGAGGCUGCUAUCAUGCACUAGGAACUAAGUCCUAUCAAAUUCAGUGAAUUUCAGUGCGGAGGCCAUGUGUUUGCCAGUGUUGUGGAGGGGUAGCUGAGAGAGAGCACUACCAGUGCGUGAAGAUAGCUGGGAAGAGCACUGCCAAUACAGGAAGUGGCAGUGAGCUGCGGAGAAGCAGAAUGAAACUAUGGAUUUGUGAUGGCAUAUCCAGAUGGAAAUAAAAGAUAAGUACUUCCUCUGACAAUAGUUAACUUGCAUGUAACUUCUUUUAAUAAAUGGUAAUGAAUAGUCAUUCAGGUACUUUCAAAAAGCAAAUCAUACCAAAUACUAAUCAAGUUCAAAUGUUCAACCUUUGGAGAGUUGUCCCUCUGUCACCUCCAUGGUUAGCAAAUUCAGAAAUCACCUUUCAUUUUAAAAUACUAUAUAUAGGGGUGAAGAACAGUAUGGAGGCUUAAAAAAAAUCAGUGUUUAUAGAGGACUUUAAGAAAAUGCCAUAUUCUGAUAAUUGUUACUAAACAAUGUUCCUUUCCUUUUUAUUGGAAUGUUUUUUGUACAGACAUGCCUUGCCAACUGUGGAUUUCCCAAUCACAGAUUUGAGUAUCCGUGACUGGGAAAUUGUGUCCACCCUUGCCAACCGCGACCCAAGAAUCCGAGGUUUGGUGACAUUUUUUUCAAAUUUGGAUGGUUUGGGGGGUCAUUUCUGGGGUCAGGGUCAUUUCCGGUGUCGGGGGUGAUACGGGGGGAGGGGGUGUUGUCCAGGGACAAUUUGGAGGAUGCUCAGGGGGUCAUUUCCAGGGGUCGGGAUCAUUUCGGGGGGCCAGGGAGCAGUUUUUCUAUUUUUUACCAUAUUUUUUCUGUCUUUCCUGACCGCAGUUGCCCUAACCCUGUUUCCCAUGCAUUGCUAUGCCUAGUCAAUCACUAAUUCACCUUUUAGGCACCUUUUACCGUGGUGAUUAUCUUUAUUUAGCAGAGGGAUAGUAACUGGCACUAUCCACCCCCAGCACAGUACCUCCAGUGACUGUUGCUGGUGUCUAUCUUGUGUUUCUUUUUAGAAUGUGAGCCCUUUGGGGACAGGGAUCUAUCUUAUUUGUUUAUUAUUUAUCUGUGUAAACCGCCCUGAGCCAUUUUGGAAGGGUGGUAUAGAAAUCAAAUUAAUAAUUAAUGAUAAUAAUAAUAAUAAUUCACCAACCUCAAGGGUUUCUAGGAAUGGAACCCUUGUGAUUGGCGAGGGACAACUGUACUCAAGAAUUGUGUGUGUUAAUCUGUCGUGCCCUUUGAUUAAUUAAGGUUAGUUGGAUAAAUCAGAGUCCAUCCCCAGCUUCUUCUUUCUUUCUUUUUACCCUUCAUAAAUUUAACAUGACUUAGCCUUCUUGUCUUCCCAUUCAAAUGACAGCAAUAUGGAAUAAAAUAAAACAUGUGUGCUCCAGCUUGGAUCAAAAUUCAGUUCAACUGUGGCCCUGGUAAAACCUUAGCUCCGGGGAUUGCAUGUAUAUGUAUGUAUUGUACAUCUGCCACACUGUCACACAUAUGAAAUAAUUCUCAGACCAGAAUCUCUCUUUUUUUUUUGGCACUGCCACAUUAUCCAUUCAGUCAAGAAUACAUAUUUUAGAAAUAUAAACUUUGGGAACACAUGGGUUGGAUUAAGGGAAAUAACAUUUCACAAAACCAAACCUAGAACUUUGAGAGUCAAUGGCUAAAUGGGCUAUGGACAUCAAUAUGAAUGGAGCAAUAGGUCUUGUUAUCAUUGCAGGUUAUAAACAUGGUUGACUUGCUCCCUUAUGGAUCACACAGGGCUGACCUUGAGGACCAAUUCAGAUCAUUGCUCUUUGUUCUCUACAUGUUCCUGAACCUGAGCAGGAAACACAUGGAGGAAAAGGUCAAGAUGCUGAAUGCCUGAAUCAACCCUUUGGAUUGAGGCAUGGAUUGCCAACCAAUCCAGGGGGAAACACCAACCUGAUUCUACCCUCUGUCCCAGAUAUACCAAAAUGCUGGAUUCUGCUCUUUGACUCCACUUCUCUGAAUCUGCUUUGGACUCCACCCUGUGACCCAGAGGGAAAAGAAUAUAACCGUGUAACAAAUCAACAAUAUAAUGACACAAAAUGAUCUUUUUACACACCUAUAUUCUCCAUGAAUCUUAGUUGUGUGAUCCCUCACCCUAUCACAUCUAGCUACCUACUACUAGAAAACAUGGCUUAAUCUCUAACUUUACUGCCCUCUGCCAACUUUUCAUAGGUGCUGGAGCACAGUGCACAGUACAUUGAACCACUUUUCCCUGUCUGUCUCCAUUAGGCAAUUUGCUUCUAACCUUAAAAGGGGGUUGGGAAUAGUCACUAACUUGCUAGUGAGGCUCAUAGCUGCCUGCCAUUAUUCUUCCAAAUACUAGUUGAGCAUGCAAAAACAUCCUUGAAGCAAAGUCAUCUAUUAAAAAUUGACAUUGAUACUUUAUAAA